rnacentral:misc_RNA from 1 species
AACCAGAACCAGAACCAGAACCAGAAAUGAGACCCUGUGUUCCAGUUUCAGUCUUCUCAAACCUUGAACUAAAACCACUGAUUCCAGCCCAGCCCGACGGCCACCCCUAUAUCCAGGCUCUCAUAGGCUAAAAUUCAUAAUAGCCCAAGAUAUUUGAUCUCUUAAACACUUUUGACCUAUUUUAGGUGGAAGAAACCUAAAACUCAAGAGAAGAUUGGCCAGCAGGAGGGAUCCAACCACUAGUUCCAUAGUUUUCUAUUGCAUUCAUUUUUUAAGAUAACAUACUAGUAUAUCAAGUUAACCUUAACAACACCUAGUUAAAAGCAAAGGCAUAUAAUCAAGUCUAGGUUGCCACCACCUGCAAGCAUCCCCCAUCAGAAA